rnacentral:rRNA from 1 species
AUACGGAGGUCGCAAGCGUUGUUCGGAAUUACUGGGCGUAAAGGGCAGGUAGGUGGUCUGUUAAGUCUUCUGUGAAAAUCCGGGGCUCAACCCCGUGAAAUGCAGGUGAAACUGGCAGACUUGAGACCGGUAGAGGCUAGCGGAAUUCCUGGUGUAGCGGUGGAAUGCGUAGAUAUCAGGAAGAACACCUGUGGCGAAGGCGGCUAGCUGGGCCGGUUCUGACACUAAACUGCGAAAGCGUGGGGAGCAAACAGGAUUAGAUACCCCAGUAGUCC